GUGGCUGUGCUGGGAAGGGCCGGGAGAUCAACAUGGCCCACCGUGCAGGGUGGCAGCAGAGGGUCCCCGAGCAUCUGUGGGAUCUGGAGGUGGCUGGAGGAUGGGCCGCAUGGGGGCUGGGCACCACCUCCUGGAUAGAGCGGAAGGCCUGCUUUCCACAUGGCGCCCACGUGGCACUUGGCACAGGGCAGAGCUCAGCUGAAAGACGCUGGUGACAAAGACUUCGCAAAAACAAACCAAAGCUCGCCAGGCCCUCCUCUCCUCCAGCGACUCACCCAGGGAAGCAGUAGAGUGUUCCCCUCAGAACGUGCACCCACAGAGAAGGACGUCCCAGACUGCGUCACAUCCCUCCCUCUUGGGUGUGGCCAUAAUGACCCGUGCUGUCUCAUCCUGGACCCUGGACAGAUGCACAUGGAGAUGUGCACAGAACGCAUGGGUAGUGGGCAGCGUACUCUGCUCUCUAUCUGCUUUAGCUUAUUGACACCAUAUAACCAACCUUCCUGUGACGUCAAGACAUCAUCCCCACUUCACAGACAAGGAAGCUGAGGCUCAGAGGGGUGAAACCCAAAAGAGUAUAAACCUACUGGGACUUCCCUGGUGGUGCAGUGGUUAAGAAUCUGCCUGCCAGUGCAGGGGACAUGGGUUCGAUCCCUGGUCCUGGAAGAUCCCACAUGCUGCGGAGCAACUAAGCCCGUGCGCCACAGCUACUGAGCCUGUGCUCUAGAGCCCGUGAGCCACAACUCCUGAGCCCGUGAGCCACAACUACUGAAGCCCACGUGCCUAGAGCCUGUGCUCUGCAACAAGAGAAGCCACCACAAUGAGAAGUCCACGCACCGCAAAGAAGAGUAGCCCCCGCUCGCCGCAACUAGAGAAAGCCCGCGCGCAGCAACGAAGACGCAACGCAGCCAAAAAUAAAUAAAUAAAAGAAAUAAAUUUAUGAAAAAGAAAAAAAAAGACCCAAUGCAGCCAAAAAUAAAUAAAUAAAUAAAUAAAUAUAAACCUGGCAA